AUUGAACGCUGGCGGCAGGCCUAACACAUGCAAGUCGAACGGUAACAGGAAACAGCUUGCUGUUUCGCUGACGAGUGGCGGACGGGUGAGUAAUGUCUGGGAAACUGCCUGAUGGAGGGGGAUAACUACUGGAAACGGUAGCUAAUACCGCAUAACGUCGCAAGACCAAAGAGGGGGACCUUCGGGCCUCUUGCCAUCGGAUGUGCCCAGAUGGGAUUAGCUAGUAGGUGGGGUAACGGCUCACCUAGGCGACGAUCCCUAACUGGUCUGAGAGGAUGACCAGCCACACUGGAACUGAGACACGGUCCAGACUCCUACGGGAGGCAGCAGUGGGGAAUAUUGCACAAAGGGCGCAAGCCUGAUGCAGCCAUGCCGCGUGUAUGAAGAAGGCCUUCGGGUUGUAAAGUACUUUCAGCGGGGAGGAAGGGAGUAAAGUUAAUACCUUUACUCAUUGACGUUACCCGCAGAAGAAGCACCGGCUAACUCCGUG
rnacentral:rRNA from 1 species